UCCUCCCCUUAGGAUUGGGUCCUGUCUGUUUGCUGGACCAGGAAGAAGGCACUGAGUCACCUUAAAUUCAGGCUAUUUAUCCAAAAGUCAUUUUUUUGUCUGUUGGUCCCUGGAGA